rnacentral:rRNA from 1 species
GAUGAACGCUGGCGGCGUGCCUAAUACAUGCAAGUCGAGCGCACGGACGAGAAGCUUGCUCUUCUGAUGUUAGCGGCGGACGGGUGAGUAACACGUGGAUAACCUACCUAUAAGACUGGGAUAACUUCGGGAAACCGGAGCUAAUACCGGAUAAUAUUUUGAACCGCAUGGUUCAAAAGUGAAAGACGGUCUUGCUGUCACUUAUAGAUGGAUCCGCGCUGCAUUAGCUAGUUGGUAAGGUAACGGCUUACCAAGGCAACGAUGCAUAGCCGACCUGAGAGGGUGAUCGGCCACACUGGACCUGAGCCACGGUCCAGACUCCUACGGGAGGCAGCAGUAGGGAAUCUUCGGCAAUGGGGGAAAGCCUGACGGGGCAACGCGGGGGGGGUGAUGAAGGUCUUCGGAUCGUAAAACUCUGUUAUUGGGGAAGAACAGAUGUGGAAGUAACUGUGCACAUCGUGACGGUACCUAAUCAGAAAGCCACGGCUAACUACGUG